rnacentral:lncRNA from 1 species
CGAGAUACACCGUUGACACACCACAGGUCAUUCAUUUCCGGCUCAUGGGUCGAGAGUUCAAUUUCUCCAUUACCCAAUUCAAUCGGGCAUUUGGGUUUGCCACUAGAGAGUAUGCUGGGAGUAGGGAGUUUGCCGAGAGUGCCUGUGACUACAUAGAGCCGUUCCUCUCCCACUACCAUGACGUGUGGGAAGAAAUGUCCGUCGACCAGCAGCGUUACGAUCCUUCCCGAUCUAGGAGCUCCUUUCUUAGGGACCCUAGUGCCCGCUAUGUUCAGCGGUUCUUAGCCUACAGCUACUCGGGGCGCAAGGACAGCUCUGGCAUACUCUCUCGCCCUGAAUUCUUCUUCUUCUGGAGUAUGAAGAACAAUGUCAAGGUGAACUUGGGGUGUUGGUUGGCCGCACAGUUCAAGACCGUCUUGGCCAAGAAGAACAAACCCCUCAUCCUUGGGUCAUACAUCACUCACUUGGCGAUACAGUUGGGGGUUCUUGACCUGGAGGACCACGACCUACAUUUGGCGUGCGAGAUGGAGCUCUUGGACGCAGACUGCUUGGAGAG